rnacentral:rRNA from 1 species
ACUCAAAGGAAUUGACGGGGACCCGCACAAGCGGUGGAACAUGUGGUUUAAUUCGAGGCAACGCGAAGAACCUUACCAGGCCUUGACAUGCCUCUCGCGGGACCCAGAAAAGGGUCCCUUCGGUUCGGCCGGAGAGUGCACAGGUGCUGCAUGGCUGUCGUCAGCUCGUGUCGUGAGAUGUUGGGUUAAGUCCCGCAACGAGCGCAACCCUCAUCCUCUGUUGCCAACAGGUAAAGCUGGGAACUCUGAGGAAACUGCCGGUGAUAAGCCGGAGGAAGGUGGGGAUGACGUCAAGUCCUCAUGGCCCUUACGGCCUGGGCUACACACGUGUUACAAUGGCGGUGACAAUGGGCUGCUAACCCGCAAGGGUAUGCGAAUCCCUAAAAGCCGCCUCAGUUCGGAUUGUACUCUGCAACUCGAGUACAUGAAGCUGGAAUCGCUAGUAAUCGUGGAUCAGCACGCCACGGUGAAUACGUUCCCGGGUCUUGUACACACCGCCCGU